GAUGAACACUAGCGGCAGGCUUAACACAUGCAAGUCGAGGGGCAGCGCGGGAUAGCAAUAUCCUGGCGGCGACCGGCGGAAGGGUGCGUAACGCGUGAGCGACAUGCCCGUUGCCCGGGGACAACCGGUGGAAACGCCGACUAAUCCCCGAUGGGAUACGAUGCUUCAUGGCAUUGUAUUGAAAGUUACGGCGGCGACGGAUUGGCUCGCGUCCGAUUAGCUGGUUGGCGGGGUAACGGCCCACCAAGGCUGCGAUCGGUAGGGGUUCUGAGAGGAAGGCCCCCCGAAAGGGGACUGAGACACGGCCCAUACUCCUACGGGAGGCAGCAGUGAGGAAUAUUGGUCAAUGGGCGGAAGCCUGAACCAGCCAUGCCGCGUGCGGGAAGGAGGCCCUAUGGGCUGUGAACCGCUUUUGCCUGGGGGCAAUAAGGGCGUCGCGCACGUCCGAUGAGAGUACCAGGCGAAUAAGCAUCGGCUAACUCCGUG
rnacentral:rRNA from 1 species